UACGUAGGGUGCGAGCGUUGUCCGGAAUUAUUGGGCGUAAAGAGCUCGUAGGCGGUGUGUCGCGUCGGCCGUGAAAACCUGGGGCUUAACUCUGGGCGUGCGGUCGAUACGGGCAUCACUAGAGUUCGGCAGGGGAGACUGGAAUUCCUGGUGUAGCGGUGGAAUGCGCAGAUAUCAGGAGGAACACCGAUGGCGAAGGCAGGUCUCUGGGCCGCAACUGACGCUGAGGAGCGAAAGCAUGGGGAGCGAACAGG
rnacentral:rRNA from 1 species